CCGGGAUACGAACCCGCGUCCCCUGCAUUGGCAGGCGGACUCUCAACCACUGCGCCACCAGGGAAGCCCUCUUUUUCUUAUUAAGCAUAAUUUAAUUCGAAUUUCUUCCAACAUUGUACCAACCACAAUUAUAAUUCACAUGAAUUCUAUCUCUCUCUUUGAAUUUCUUUGUUGAAGUUUUGUAAAUCACAGAAAUAAGAGAGACAUAGUCAGUAUUUCCUAUAGCUAACAGCCCAUUAAGGGAGAGGGAAAAUAAAUAACUCAUGUUAUGAAUCUUCUGUGUUUGAGAACCUCACUCUACUGGUUACAAAUUCACUUGUCAUUCAGUCCAUAUUUGUUUACCUUGUUCCCAAGGAUAGCGUGAAGAUAUCAUGAAUAACCCUGUAAAAUGUCACAUUGCUGUCCAGAGGAGAGCAACCAGGAUAAGAUUCAGAUUCAUCUCAUAGAAGCGAGAGCUGGAGAACAUAGUCAUAUUUAGUGCUGAAAAGAGGGGAGAUGGUGCACAUAGUGGGAGAUGUUGAAGAGGGUGACAAUUUGGUGUGUGGGUUGGAUGAGGGUGGAGAGAAGGUGGACAUGGAUGACGUGAACGUCCACUGAGGCCAAUGGUAUGUUGGCAGCAAAUGAUUCUGGAAGUAGCUAUUUCAAGCAGCCCAUGGUGAUACCUCCUUGACCUAUGAUUUAGAAGAAACAGUGGCCCCCUUUCGGGUUUUUCUCAUGAAUUAGUCUAAAAUAUGUCUUUGUUAAAGAGGAAGAAAUGGAUCUUUGAAAUAAGUGGACAAUUGACAGCCAGGCAAGAAGGAGGAGGAGACCUAUUCAUGGGAAGAAAGAGAAGAAAAAUUCACGGUAAAGUAGUGAACGUCCCCAGCUUCACUGCUCUCUCAUUCAUCUUAGGCGUGCCGGAACUCUAACCGUUUGCCUGUUGCGUUAACGGACAUUUUGUUUCCUUGACCAUCUUUACCCAGAUGAGGACUUGCAGGGGAGCAUAGAUGCCGCCACAGGAGAUGGCAGACAGUUCGAGACUCCAGGAGUUUCCCAGGAGGGAGUGAGAGCCUUCCUGUCCCAGGGCUCUGAGACCAGGACAGCUAUGCCACCACAAUCCCAUGCAGUCUCUGCUUUCAGUGUGAAGUUCCACCCUUGCCCGCUCCAGAACCUGCGGUGCGAGAGCUCCAUUUACAUCUCUAGGUCAUGUUCCACCACCAGGUCUGCUCCAUCCUGCUGAUGACUGGAGACUGACAUGGUGGCAAAUACCCACCAGGGAGACCUUUGUGUGGGUUGCUCUCCUAUAAUUCAGAUGAGAUAAUGGGCCUCAGGAGGGAAAUUCUGCAAUUUCCUUCGUUAACUACACUGUGCAAGAACAUUAUUACAGCAAGCAAUUACAAGGAAAUAUAAGGCAUCAUUACAGAGCCAUUGUGUCCGCUUUUAAUUUUUUUCCAGUGCAAUGUAAUGUUGCCUUGUCGUCUUCAAUCCUUAAUAAAAUGUCGGUUGGUUGGCUGCC